GACGAACGCUGGCGGCGUGCUUAACACAUGCAAGUCGAACGAAGUGGCGAACGGGUGAGUAACGCGUAAUCAACCUGCCCUUCAGAGGGGGACAACAGUUGGAACCGACUGCUAAUACCGCAUACUGAAGGAGGGGCUUGCGUCUGAUUAGCUAGUUGGGGGGGGAACGGCCCACCAAGGCGAUGAUCAGGAGCAGGUCUGAGAGGAUGAACGGCCACAUGGGGACUGAGACACGGCCCAGACGCCUACGGGAGGCAGCAGUGGGGAAACUUCCGCAAUGGACGAAAGUCUGACGGAGCAACGCCGCGGGAGUGAUGACGGCCUUCGGGUUGUAAAGCUCUGUUAAUCGGGACGCGGUACCGGAAUAGAAAGCCACGGCUAACUACGUGCCAGCAGCCGCGGUAAUUC
rnacentral:rRNA from 1 species